ACACCGGCAGCUCUAGUGGUAGCAAUUUUUAUUGGGCCUAAAGCGUCCGUAGCCGGUUUAAUAAGUCUCUGGUGAAAUCCUGUAGCUUAACUGUGGGAAUUGCUGGAGAUACUAUUAGACUUGAGACCGGGAGAGGUUAGAGGUACUCCCAGGGUAGAGGUGAAAUUCUGUAAUCCUGGGGGGACCGCCUGUUGCGAAGGCGUCUAACUGGAACGGUUCUGACGGUGAGGGACGAAAGUUAGGGGCGCGAACCGGAUUAGAUACCCGGGUAGUCCUAACUGUAAACGAUGCGGACUUGGUGUUGGGGUGGCUUUGAGCUGCUUCAGUGCCGAAGGGAAGCUGUUAAGUCCGCCGCCUGGGAAGUACGGUCGCAAGACUGAAACUUAAAGGAAUUGACGGGG
rnacentral:rRNA from 1 species